GGGGAAUCUAUGGGGGGAGGGGGCUCUGUGGGGUGGGACAUUCACAUCAUUUCACUCUGGUCUGAGUGGUGGCCUGAGAACCAUGGUGGCAUGGACCACCCUCAUCCAUGCAACUCCAGGCCCCAUGGGAACGGAUGUGGAAGGAAGAACUGUCACCCUCUUAAGGCCCAGGGUCGGAGCCCAGGGCCUCUCCCUUCCUGUCGUUCAAUGGACGUGGUGGUGGCUGUUCCACACCCAUUUUGUUGCAGUUCCUGUGAGACAGGAGAGGCUGAGCCAAGGGAACUGUGAAGGGGAUGGGCAGGAGGGCUUGUGCAGGGUUUUGUAAGCAGUGAUCUAGUUUCAUUAAAAAAAGAAAACAAUAACCAUAACCACCUCCCCAUGUCUGUCUGCACCAGGAGCACCUGGGACCGGGAAGGUCAAGGGGAGGGAGCACACACUGGGACACUGGCUUCCGGGAAGCCCAUCUUCCUUUCCUUUCACAGCUCUUACCCUUUUUUUUUUUUUUAAUUGCACAGCAGAAAUAAAAACAAAUCUGCAGAUGAAAUUUGCCAUGUCCCUGCGGUUCUUGACCUUGUGUCUGAAGGCCUCAAGUCACUAGUCCUGCCACUUGCCUUGUAGACUUGGUUUCCUACACAAGCCUGGAAGGGAGGGAGACCUGCAGGGAAGAUUAGCUGGAUCUUGCUGGUGGGGAGGUCUGAGCAUCUCCAUCAGGGUUCUUUAGUUGUAGGUGCUAGAAAGCCUGUCCUCAGCUGGCAUAAGUCAAAAAGGAGAUUUUUUUAUUGACUCUGGUGAUUGAAAAGCUGUGGUAGGACUGGUUUUGGGACAAAGAUCUGAUAAUGAAUGUGCCUUAUAGGGAAUUCCUGUAGGGUCACGUGACUGCUUUAGAUUGCAGGUCAGGAAAGGUCUCUGAAGUGGUGGUGAUGAAGCUGAAGCUGGAAUGAGAGGGACCUGAGAGGGGAGGAGUGUUGGCAGGCAGAGAGCAGGUUCUAGGGCUGGACUGAGCGAGGUAUAUGGAGGAACAGGAAGGAGGUCAUGGUGGCAAAGUGGGGGGAACCAUGGUGUACAGUCUGGGGUGAUUGACAGUCCCCUGACAAGGGCCAUCCCAGUGGAAGGUCGGGGCUGGCUGCCUCCCUGGAGUGGGGUAAGAGGAUAUGAGGUGAGGAAGUGUGGGAGUCAGUGAUUAUAGACAAAAAAUAGUGCUGAGAAGGGGAGCUGAGAAAUGGGGUGUUACCAGGAGGGGAGCUUUGGGGGCAAAGUAUGGUAGGCCAUAUUGUGGACGUAACAGGAGACCUCCAGGCAUGUUUUGCUGGGGCAGUGUUCUGUUGUCAGGGAAGCUCGGGCAUGCCGUAUCUGCCUGGGAGGGUCAGGAUGCCUACUAGCUAGGGAAAGCUGAAAAACCCCACAGUAAAGAAACCACUUAACUUAUACAAGUUGAAUAUAAACCAUUUAACUUACACCAGUGUUUAUUAUUAAGAAAAGACCUGGGCCAGGUGCGGUGGCUCACGCCUGUAAUCUCAGCACUUCCAGAGGACAAGGCGGGCGGAUCAUGAGAUCAAGAGUUCGAGACCGGCCUGGCCGAGAAGUCUGCCCUCCCCAGAGAUAGACCAAGUCCUUCAGGAAGCCUCUGGAGCCCAUUGCUG
rnacentral:lncRNA from 1 species